UUUAUAGAGAUCAAGGAGAGUGAAGACAGGUACCCAGGGUUGCGGAUCUCCUACAAGUAUUCUACCAUUUUCCUGCCCGCCAAGGCUUACUGUGACCCAAUAUCCUAUCUCUACGACGACGAUCUUGAAAAAAAAACUAUUGAUGCUCACCUGUGGAUCAACAGCAUGGAGCCGGAUAACAAAAGCUGUGGGGAAUCCUCAAAGAAAUUUAACAAAGGCAUACGAGCUGAUGUUUUGAUAACACAGCCUAUUGAAGAGGUCUGGAAGAACCGGUCAUUUGAGUCGCUGAACCAAGUAAAAUGGACUAAUAUAGGUCUGAGGAGUGGUGUGUUUAGGACCUACCCAGGACAUCGGUCCACCAGGGGCUACGAUCC